UACCCCUCCUUACCUCUCUGCGUAUCGUCCAACGCAGGUCCCUUUCUCCUGCAAACUCUCGCCUCUUAGUUCGUACUCUUCUUCUCUCUGUGUCUCUGUCUACUCUAACUAGAACUUUCCAGUCAUUAUUAUUACAUUCUUCCAACUUUGACGCUCGAAGAUCUCUCUCUCUCUCUCUCUCUCCCGCUUUUCGAUUCAAUAUUUAUUCUCUUCUUCGCUUCGACGAUCUGAAUCCCUAAAUGUUGCUUUUUAGCUAAGACUGUUACCUGCCACGCAUGAUUGCCGCCAAUUCUCUUCCUGGAACCGGUAAUUGUGGCGCGAGAGGGAUUUCGAGUAAUUUCCUGUGCCGGAUUCUUGCCGGCGGUGGAAGUUUCGGCAAAAUGUCCUGCAUGAACUUGGGAUUCAAUUCGAAGAGUAAUCAUGGUGAGAGAAGUAAAGUGGGAUUGGUUCAGAGUAUGAAGAUAAGCUGCUUCAAGGAAAGGCCGAGGAAAGGACUGAAGUUGGAAGUGGAAUCCGUGCGUGGAGGGGAAGAUGUUUGGGAUGCAGCAUCGGCAGAGCCCAAGUUGUUUCCGGAGCAUCUCGUGAUAAUGGUUAAUGGCAUCAUUGGGAGUUCUGAGGAUUGGAGAUAUGCAGCGGAGCAAUUUGUGAAAAGGCUUCCAGACAAAGUUAUUGUGCACCGCAGUGAAUGCAACUAUUCAAGAUUGACUUUUGAUGGUGUUGACUUGAUGGGUGAGAGGUUAGCAGAUGAGGUAUGUUCAGUUGUUAGACGUAGACCUGGAGUUCGAAAGAUCUCCUUUGUCGCUCACUCUUUGGGUGGCUUGGUAGCGAGGUAUGCAAUUGGAAGGCUGUAUGAACCUUUUCUGGAAAGGGAGUCCUCAGGUCUUACUGGGAAUGGCUCAGGCGAGGAACAUUCAAGUUGUUCAGUGCAAAGCUUUGAACAAUCUAUUGAAGGUAGAAUUGCUGGAUUGGAACCCAUGAAUUUUAUAACAUGUGCAACACCUCAUCUGGGUUCACGGGGACAUAAACAGCUCCCGUUCCUCUGUGGCCUUCCUUUUCUGGAGAAAAGGGCAUCACAGACUGCACAUUGGAUUGUUGGACGGACUGGGAAACACCUUUUUCUCACUGACAAUGAUGAUGGGAUGCCUCCUCUUCUUCUUCAAAUGGUUAAUGACUGUCCUGACCUAAAAUUCAUGUCUGCACUACGAUCUUUUAAGCGCUGUGUUGCAUAUGCCAAUGCAAACUAUGAUCAUAUGGUUGGCUGGAGGACAUCAUCAAUCCGCCGUCAACAUGAGCUACCAAAGUCCAAUCUUCUUGUAAAACACGAGAAGUAUCCGCACAUUGUGUAUGUUGAGAGAGAUAGAGCUACAGAGAUAAACAGAAGAUCAUCUUCUUGUGUCGGGGAUGAGACAGUUGACAUGGAAGAGGAGAUGAUAAGAGGUCUCACUCAAGUUGCUUGGGAACGAGUGGAUGUUAGCUUCCAGAAAAGUAGACAAAGAUACAUUGCACACAGUACCAUUCAGGUGAAGAGCUAUUGGUUGAAUUCAGAUGGAGUGGAUGUGGUUUUUCACAUGAUUGAUAACUUCCUUCUCUAAUUCCAGUACAAAUUCUUGGUGCCCCUGUAUGGUGAAUCAGUGAUGAUAGUGAUAUAAUGGGUGAAGAAAAAAAUUGACCCAAUUCCAUGGCAAUUAGAUAGUCACGACUACUGGAUCAGACUUCCAAGGCUCCCUACCCUGUUAUGGGACAUUCCAGUAGUACAGCCUUGUUCUCUUCUUAGUUCACUUCACUCCCCCACUCCCUCGACUUGUCUCCGACCAAAUCCAAUCUUGAAUAUGUGAGAGCAACAAUGUUGGCAGAACUCUAGCACUAAGUGGCAGCGACCGAACCCACUCUUGAAACGAUGAUCGGAAGUCGGACUUCUCUGCAACUUUGUCGACACUAUGAAAUAUGCCAAAAAUAUGAAAUAUUUCUCUCAAAUUCCUUGUCAUUAUCAAUAUUUAAGUUGAAGAUACUAUGGAAUUUCUCAAUUCGUAGGAUAGACUAUUACUUUUUUUUUUUUUCCUAUGAAUCUUUAUUUUUUUCAGCAUUGAGGGCCUCAUGACCUUAUCAACUAUAAAGGCAUUGAAGGUUACUUUAUUUGUUUCAAAUGAUUUUUUAUGAAUAUUUAUUUAGCCGAUUCAACCAUAUUUUG